rnacentral:tRNA from 2 species
GCCCGUUUGGCUUAGGGGUACAGCGUCUCACUCGUAACUGAAAAUGAGAAGAUCCGCGGUUCGAUUCCGCGAAUGGGCA